rnacentral:lncRNA from 1 species
GGCUGGUGCAAGAAAAAGAAAAAAGUCUUAAAUUGUAGAAAUUGACAACACGAAAAAGGCCAGUUUUGUAAAAUAGACUAUCAACUUUCAAAAUACGAAUGGUCUCACUGAUUAGUUGGUACGAUGCUUCGUAAAAAUGAUGAUCUUAAUAUGUUGUACAAACUACCAUCCCUUGUAAAAAUAAAUAAACAGACAUAAGUAAAAUGGUGUUUGAAUAAUAAAAAUAUCUAAUGCACAGUAUAUAAUAAACAAAUGCAAGAAUUUUAAACUUCUAGAUACGAAUGAAUUGAUUACAUACAGACGAAUACAAAUGAUUUAGAUAAUAAUGAAUCAUACAAAGCAUAUAAUUAU